rnacentral:sRNA from 1 species
AUUUUAUCUUUAUAAAAUAUUUAUAUUUUACAGUUUAUAAUUAUUAUUAAGUAAGGCUAUACCACGAAUCUAUGAGACAAUUGUUACAAAACUGAAGUUGUAACCCCUAUUAAAACAGCAUAUUAAUAAUAUUUUAAAAUUUUAUAAAUAUUGAUUCAAAUACAUCCACCAUAUAACUCAAUUCCAAAAUAAAACCCGUUCUAUAAUUUCUUUACCCGUCCUGUGAUUUGUUUUUUAAAGUAGUAAUUUUUAAAAUUUAAGAAUUAUUUUUUAU